rnacentral:lncRNA from 1 species
AUGUAUCCAUUUUGUACCUUGCCUUGCUUAUUCAUUUGUGAAAUGCUAGUCUUUGAUCCAAUGAAUCUGAAAAUUUGCAUGAUGAAACUAGACACUUUGCUUGACAUUUUGGUGUUGAUUUGGUAUUUUUACCAUUUAUCAUUUCUGUUUUAUGAUCAUGUUAAGUUGGUGUGACAAUUUGUGUCACACCUUUGAUGUUCAACUUAUGUGAUGUGUUUGCCAUGCCAAAUGAUCUCCAAUUAUCCUGAUUUUUUGUAUGAUACAUAUUAUGGAUGUUUUGAAUGAGCAUGAAUUUUGUUGGAAUUAUUUGAAUCAUUUCUGAUUUAAUUGAGAUUUUUCAUUCUGGUUGGUCACAUUUGAGCUUUAAAAUUGCCUUGAACUUCAAUUGAUCAUGAAAUGCUUUUGGUAUAUGAUAUUAAUGUGAGACCUUUUGGAUUGUUUCAAGAUGUGUUUGAAGUUGAUUCAUGUUAAUUUUCAGCUUCUGUUUUGAAUUUUUUCUUCAUCUUUGACCCUAGGCUUUGACCUAGUGGUUUGCCUCUCACAUUUGAGCUUUGUUUUCAGGUUGAACAUACAAGUUCCAUAGUUGUUGAUGCUCCAUCAUUUGAGCAUUGAUAUUUGCCUUUGAUUACUAAUCUUUGUGUGUUUUGUAGGUUAAUGUUGACUCAUUUGAGUUUGACCUUUGGCUUACACAUUGUGUACAUUGG